rnacentral:rRNA from 1 species
UACGGGGGGGGGUAAGCGUUGUUCGGAAUUACUGGGCGUAAAGGGCUCGUAGGCGGCCAACUAAGUCAGACGUGAAAUCCCUCAGCUUAACUGGGGAACUGCGUCUGAUACUGGAUGGCUUGGAUUUGGGAGAGGGAUGCGGAAUUCCAGGUGUAGCGGUAGAAAUGCGUAGAUAUCUGGAGGAACACCGGUGGCGAAGGCGGCAUCCUGGACCGACAUUGACGCUGAUGAGCGAAAGCUAGGGGAGCAAACGGG